GCCUCAGCCUCCCGAGUAGCUGGGGCUACAGGCACCUGCCACCAAACCCGGCUAAUUUUUUUGUAUUUUUAGUAGAGACGGGGUUUCACCGUGUUAGCCAGGAUCGUCUUGAUCUCCUGACCUUGUGAUCCACCCGCCUCGGCCUCCCAAAUUGCUGGGAUUACAGAUGUGAGCCACCGCACCUGGUCCAAGAACCCAAGUUUUAGAUCUAGAGUGAUGUCAGCAUGACAUUGAUUUCCUGAGGCCCAGGGGCGAAGGAGCUGAGGACAGCAGAGGGGUGAAGGAACUCAGCUACAGACAGCAGCAGCUGAUGCACAGGGCUCCCAGCGCCUGAAGUCACCCGGAAUUGGGAAGUGCUCAGAAGCUUACAAAGCUGCCUCGAGGUGGGAACAUGACAUAAAUCCAAGAGCAGAUCCCUGAUCCUAUAAAAAUGUACUAGAUGCAGUGGGGGCAUUUUAAAUGAGCAGAGAAGGACAGACAGAUAAACAGAAGGACAAACAGUAUUGGGAUUGGGAUAAAUGCUCAGCUUUUGCCCAAAUCUUAGUGACUUAAGCAUCACUUAUUUGCUCACGAUUCUGUGGCUGGACCAUUUGGUUUGGCUCACAGGGCAGGGACUGUGCUGGUCUUACCUGAGCAGACCUGCAUGUCUGCGGUCAACUGGGUUGGCAGAGACAGAGUGACUGUCUUCCUCCAGGAAGCAGCAGGUUAACUGGUUGGCAGAGACAGAGGGACAGAGGGACUGUCUUCCUCCAGGAAGCAGCAGGUUAACUGGUUGGCAGAGACAGAGGGACAGAGGGACUGUCUUCCUCCAGGAAGCAGCAGGUUGGCUCUGUUUCCUUCGUGGGGCAGCUGGUCUCCAGGGCAGCAAGAGAGACCAAGCCCCAGUGCACAUUCUACAGCCUCUGUGCACAUCAGACUUGUUAAUAUCCCAUUGGCCAGUGUAAGUCACAUGGCCAAGCCCAGAUUAAGGAGUGGAAAGAUGGAGGCUAUCUCCUCCUGGGAGAGGAGGCCAAGGAGGUGGGAGUAUUAUGUGGCCACUUAUGUUUGCAAUCUACCAUACUUAGCACUUUGAGAAAAGAAUUAACUGAGAAACUUGCUUCAAAUAGGGCAUUCAGUAAAAUGAAGCCCCAAUUGAAGUAAAAUGCAUAUAUAAAAAAUGAAACUGUGACCGAUUUUAAGGACAGUAUUGGCAAAUAUUUCUGUGCUCUUGGAGGAGAAGACCCUUAUUGGCAUGACAUGUCAGAAACCACAAUGAAAGAAUUAUUUUAACUUGCAUUCAUAAAAAUUAAAAUUAUUCAUUAAAAACAUCGUGAAUGAAAUU
rnacentral:lncRNA from 10 species